rnacentral:rRNA from 1 species
AUACGGAGGGGGUUAGCGUUGUUCGGAAUUACUGGGCGUAAAGCGUACGUAGGCGGACUGGAAAGUUGGGGGUGAAAUCCCGGGGCUCAACCCCGGAACUGCCUCCAAAACUUCCAAUCUAGAGAGCGAGAGAGGGGAGUGGAAUUCCAAGUGUAGAGGUGAAAUUCGUAGAUAUUUGGAGGAACACCAGUGGCGAAGGCGGCUCACUGGCUCGAUACUGACGCUGAGGUACGAAAGCGUGGGGAGCAAACAGGAUUAGAUACCCCAGUAGUCC